UACGUAGGGGCAAGCGGUUGUCCGGAAUCAUUGGGCGUAAAGCGCGUGUAGGCGGUUCGAUAAGUCUGCUGUGAAAGUCCGGGCUCAACCCUGGAAGCCGGAUGGAUACUGUCGGACUAGAGUACGGAAGAGGCGAGUGGAAUUCCCGGUGUAGCGGUGGAAAUGCGCAGAUAUCGGGAGGAACACCAAUUGCGAAGGCAAGCUCGGCUGGGACGUCGAC
rnacentral:rRNA from 1 species